rnacentral:lncRNA from 1 species
UUGAAGCCGGUCAAAAAUAGCCUUUCUGAUUAUCAACAAUUUACAACUGCAGAUAGUGGUGAAAGGAUCGAAUCCACAGGGAAUUGAGAACUUACCUAUUUUCCUUAUCAAGACCAAUAAAAUAUACUGAAACAAAAAUAAACUGAAAAAGAAGAAAACUGAAAAUAAGAUAAACUGAAACGAGAUAAAACUGAAAGAGAAAUAAACGGAAAGCAAAACAAACUAAAACGAGAUAUAAUGAGAUAAAAUUGAAAGAGAAAUAAACGGAAAGCAAAAUAAACUGAAACGAGAUAAAACUGAAAACGAGAUAAACUGAAAGCGGAAUAAAAAUAAAUUGCAGUAAAAGUAAAAUGGGGGGUUUGAGAUUGAUU